rnacentral:rRNA from 1 species
GUGGGGAAUAUUGGACAAUGGGCGAAAGCCUGAUCCAGCCAUGCCGCGUGUGUGAAGAAGGUCUUCGGAUUGUAAAGCACUUUAAGUUGGGAGGAAGGGCAGUAAGUUAAUACCUUGCUGUUUUGACGUUACCGACAGAAUAAGCACCGGCUAACUUCGUGCCAGCAGCCGCGGUAAUACGAAGGGUGCAAGCGUUAAUCGGAAUGACUGGGCGUAACGCGCGCGUAGGUGGUUUUGUAAGUUGGAGGUGAAAUCCCCGGGCUCAACCUGGGAACUGCCUCCAAAACUGCAUGACUAGAGUACGGUAGAGGGUAGUGGAAUUUCCUGUGUAGCGGUGAAAUGCGUAGAUAUAGGAAGGAACACCAGUGGCGAAGGCGACUACCUGGACUGAUACUGACACUGAGGUGCGAAAGCGUGGGGAGCAAACAGGAUUAGAUACCCUAGUAGUCC